CAAGAUUUGAUCUGCAAAUACCUGAACACACAGGACUAUAUUUCCUGGCCUCCUUUGCAGUUAGGUGCAGCCACAUUACUGUGUUCUAGCCAUUGAAAUAUGGAAAGAAAUGAUCAAUACCACCUCCAGCCCUGGCCCAUAAAACUUUCCUUUCCAUUCUUCGUGCUCUCAUUCUUCCUUCAUCUGCCGGAGGAUUCAGCAGAACCAUUAGGUGCACAGAGCUCUUCUCUCCUCCCACUACUUCCAACGUGCAUUGAACUGUGAUGUGAGCCAGAA
rnacentral:lncRNA from 1 species